AUGGAUCUUAGCCCAUCGAUUCGGUGUUCGAACGUGAGAGGGUUAAACAACCUAGCAAAGAGAGAUGUGGUGAGGGCCUUUGUUGCCACAUUGAGAGUUAAUGUAGCUUGCCUCCAAGAGACUAAAAUGGAUGUCAUUGAUCUUUACACCGUGUUGCAAUGCCUUGGGCCGUCCUUUGAUGGUUUUGCUUUCUUGCCAGCCGAUGAGACCAGAGGAGGAAUUAUCAUUGCUUGGGAUUCGACCAACAUUAACAUCAAUCAUCUUCACUCGAAUACUGAUUUCAUCUCGGGACAAGUUCACACCAAAUUUCAUCUCGGGACAAGUUCACACCAAACAACUUCAUGGUGGAUCUCGGUGGUUUAUUGCCCGCAAGGCAAUACGCAAAAACGGCGUUCUUGGAGGAGCUUCAUGCCGCGCGUAUGCUUUGGCCGGGGCGAUGGAUGA
rnacentral:rRNA from 1 species